UGUUAAGUCCAGUGGCUCAAAUUAGCCUCU
rnacentral:piRNA from 1 species